rnacentral:misc_RNA from 1 species
CCGGUAGGUCGCCAGCUGAGGCGGUUUGUAAGUUUUGGGUCGCAGUAUGCUAGAAUUUUGAGGCUCCCUUCUGAUGAAAAUUGAGCUGUCCAUGCAGCCAUGGAACCCGGGUUACAGCAGUGAGGGGGCCACGGCUCAAGGCCGGGCGCAGUGGCUCACACCUGUAAUCCCAGCACUUUGGGAGGCCGAGGCGGGCGGAUCAUGAGGUCAGGAGAUCAAGACCAUCCUGGCUAACACGAAACUUACACAUGUCCAAAAAUGAUUGAGAUGGAGCAGGCGGAGGCCCAGCUUGCUGAGUUAGACCUGCUAGCCAGUAUGUUCCCUGGUGAGAAUGAGCUCAUAGUGAAUGACCAGCUGGCUGUAGCAGAACUGAAAGAUUGUAUUGAAAAGAAGACAAUGGAGGGGCGAUCUUCAAAAGUCUACUUUACUAUCAAUAUGAACCUGGAUGUAUCUGACGAAAAAAUGGCGAUGUUUUCUCUGGCCUGUAUUCUUCCCUUUAAAUACCCGGCAGUUCUGCCUGAAAUUACUGUCAGAUCAGUAUUAUUGAGUAGAUCCCAGCAGACUCAGCUGAACACAGAUCUGACUGCAUUCCUGCAAAAACAUUGUCAUGGAGAUGUUUGUAUACUGAAUGCCACAGAGUGGGUUAGAGAACACGCCUCUGGCUAUGUCAGCAGAGAUACUUCAUCUUCACCCACCACAGGAAGCACAGUCCAGUCAGUUGACCUCAUCUUCACGAGACUCUGGAUCUACAGCCAUCAUAUCUAUAACAAAUGCAAAAGAAAGAAUAUUCUAGAGUGGGCAAAGGAGCUUUCCCUGUCUGGGUUUAGCAUGCCUGGAAAACCUGGUGUUGUUUGUGUGGAAGGCCCACAAAGUGCCUGUGAAGAAUUCUGGUCAAGACUCAGAAAAUUAAACUGGAAGAGAAUUUUAAUUCGCCAUCGAGAAGACAUUCCUUUUGAUGGUACAAAUGAUGAAACGGAAAGACAAAGGAAAUUUUCCAUUUUUGAAGAAAAAGUGUUCAGUGUUAAUGGAGCCAGGGGAAACCACAUGGACUUUGGUCAGCUCUAUCAGUUCUUAAACACCAAAGGAUGUGGGGAUGUUUUCCAGAUGUUCUUUGGUGUAGAAGGACAAUGACAUCAAGAGUAGUUGAAAGUAUCUUGCCACUGUUGGCCUUUUGAUUUUUUUUUCCCACUUUUUCUUGAAAGAUUAAGUAAUUUUAUUUUAGUUCCAUUCUAGAAUGUUGGGGAGUGGGGCACAAGAAAAAAUAGUAUAGCUGAAAUGCAUCUGUUAAAAAUGUCAUGAUUGAAAGCAGAACUGAGUUUCAAAUUACAACCUUAAAAUUGUUGUUAGAUAUUUCUUCACAUAUCAGCUGCCCAUUUUGAAAAAGAAAUUAUCCAUAAAGGUAAUGUUGGUGCUCCAAUUUGCCAGCCAUUCCCAACCCCCUUCUCCCUUACCUGCCUUCACUAAAGAACCCAGAAAAGCUAAUUGCUCCCCUUUCAGCCUCUGUUGCAACUAACAACUCUCAGUGGCCUCAGGACACAGCUUUGGCCUUGGGAAUUCUGGGAAAACUUUUACUUCCUGAUUAAAGAUACAUAUGCAGCUAGGCCACCUCCUCCCCCCCUUACUGCCAUAAACACCAAAGUGAUGACUGGAGCUGGAGGAGUUAUUUGAACCACGACGAAGGGCCAAGAGAACCACGAAGAUGCCAGUUGCCACAUUGUUGAGCUGCUGACCCAACACCAGCCAUUGCCUGUCUCUAAACAUCUUAUGAAAUAAAACCAGUUUUGUUUAA